rnacentral:rRNA from 1 species
UAAGUUGGUAGUGAAGCGUGGGCUCAACCUCAUAUCCAUUACCAAACUACUUUGACUAGAGAAUGAGAGAGGUCGCUGGAAUUUCUUGUGUAGGAGUGAAAUCCGUAGAUAUAGGAAGGAACACCGAUGGCGUAGGCAGGCGACUGGCUCAUUUCUGACGCUAAGGCACGAAAGCGUGGGGAGCGACCGGGAUUAGAUACCCCGUUAGUCCACGCCGUAAACGAUGGAUGCUA